UACAGAGGGGGCAAGCGUUGUUCGGAAUUACUGGGCGUAAAGGGCGCGUAGGCGGCCUUCUAAGUCAGACGUGAAAUCCCUCGGCUCAACCGGGGAACUGCGUCCGAGACUGGAAGGCUUGAAUCCGGGAGAGGGAUGUGGAAUUCCAGGUGUAGCGGUGAAAUGCGUAGAUAUCUGGAGGAACACCGGUGGCGAAGGCGGCAUCCUGGACCGGUAUUGACGCUGAGGCGCGAAGGCCAGGGGAGCAAACGGG
rnacentral:rRNA from 1 species